rnacentral:rRNA from 1 species
GACGUAGACCCGAAACCGGGCGACCUACCCAUGAGCAGGAUGAAGCGAAAGUAAAAUUUCGUGGAGGUCCGAACCCACGAGCGUUGAAAAGCUCGGGGAUGACUUGUGGGUAGCGGUGAAAUUCCAAUCGAGCCCGGAGAUAGCUGGUUCUCCCCGAAAUAGCUUUAGGGCUAGCCUCAAGGUGAGAGAUACGGAGGUAGAGCACUGAAUGUCCUAGGGGGUAUUGCAC